UUUAACUGUCUCCAUUUAUUCGACUUUAGAUAGUUUAGAUGGUAUCUGUUUACUCACUGGGAUUUUAUAAUCUCACCACCCUCAUUUCCUCACAUUUCAGGCUCGGGAAAUUCCAUAGUUAGCUGACUUUGACAAGGACCUUCAUUUGGACUCGAAUCGAUAAAAGCUGUAGGUUUUCAGCUUCUGAUGCAUUUUGGUUAGAUGUGGGCCCACGUGUCAUUGUAAAAAAAAUUUUAUACUUUGGUUAUUUGCUUUAUAGUAUAUAUAAAUAUAAUUAACUUUUACGCUAUAAGAAUUAUGUACCGAUAGUUUUAUGAAAAUUAUUUUAUAACAAAAUAGUUUAUUUUAUUGAAUAUUUUUAUUAUAUUCAAAUGGUCAAAUUUUCACUUCAAAUGAACGUUUUAGAUACUUAAUUUNAAUGAACGUUUUAGAUAUUUAAUUUGUUUUUAAAUCAUUAAAUAUAUAUUUUCUGCUUACCUACUAUAUUUUUAGCAAGUUUCGAGAUUUUCGACAAAAAUGACGAAAAUGCCCUUGUGAGCCAGAAAACAAUAUGUUAUGUUCUGAUUUGAAAAUGAUUUGUAAUCCCUUGAAUUUUGAUAUUUGAUAACUAUUGCUCACUAGGGAAGUGCGAAAGCUGAUACGAGAGCCUUGCGAGGUUUUGAUCGACAUUCGGGGUGAAGAAUGUUUGUCGAGGCUUCGCGGCGGUUGUCACGGGCUCGAUGGGGAGUUCCGGGUCGUGACACUA
rnacentral:lncRNA from 1 species